rnacentral:rRNA from 1 species
AUUGAACGCUGGCGGCAUGCCUUACACAUGCAAGUCGAACGGCAGCAUGGGUGCUUGCACCUGAUGGCGAGUGGCGAACGGGUGAGUAAUGCAUCGGAACGUACCCGGAAGUGGGGGAUAACGUAGCGAAAGUUACGCUAAUACCGCAUAUUCUGUGAGCAGGAAAGAGGGGGAUCGCAAGACCUCUCGCUUUCGGAGCGGCCGAUGUCGGAUUAGCUAGUUGGCGGGGUAAAGGCCCACCAAGGCAACGAUCCGUAACGGGUCUGAGAGGAUGAUCCGCCACACUGGGACUGAGACACGGCCCAGACUCCUACGGGAGGCAGCAGUGGGGAAUUUUGGACAAUGGGCGCAAGCCUGAUCCAGCCAUGCCGCGUGAGUGAAGAAGGCCUUCGGGUUGUAAAGCUCUUUCGGCCGGGAAGAAAUCGCACAGGUUAAUACCCUGUGUGGAUGACGGUACCGGAAUAAGAAGCACCGGCUAACUACGUGCCAGCAGCCGCCGUAA